rnacentral:rRNA from 1 species
UACGAAGGGGGCUAGCGUUGCUCGGAAUCACUGGGCGUAAAGCGCACGUAGGCGGAUUGUUAAGUCAGGGGUGAAAUCCUGGAGCUCAACUCCAGAACUGCCUUUGAUACUGGCGAUCUUGAGUCCGGGAGAGGUGAGUGGAACUGCGAGUGUAGAGGUGAAAUUCGUAGAGAUUAGGAAGAACACCAGUGGCGAAGGCGACUUACUGGACUGUAACUGACGCUGAGGCAUGAAAGCGUGGGGAGCAAACAGG